rnacentral:rRNA from 1 species
AUUGAACGCUGGCGGCAGGCCUAACACAUGCAAGUCGAACGGUAACAGGAAACAGCUUGCUGUUUCGCUGACGAGUGGCGGACGGGUGAGUAAUGUCUGGGAAACUGCCUGAUGGAGGGGGAUAACUACUGGAAACGGUAGCUAAUACCGCAUAACGUCGCAAGACCAAAGAGGGGGACCCUCGGGCCUCUUGCCAUCGGAUGUGCCCAGAUGGGAUUAGCUUGUUGGUGGGGUAACGGCUCACCAAGGCGACGAUCCCUAGCUGGUCUGAGAGGAUGACCAGCCACACUGGAACUGAGACACGGUCCAGACUCCUACGGGAGGCAGCAGUGGGGAAUAUUGCACAAUGGGCGCAAGCCUGAUGCAGCCAUGCCGCGUGUAUGAAGAAGGCCUUCGGGUUGUAAAGUACUUUCAGCGGGGAGGAAGGGAGUAAAGUUAAUACCUUCGCUCAUUGACGUUACCCGCAGAAGAAGCACCGGCUAACUCCGUG